rnacentral:ncRNA from 1 species
CUAUGAUUUUAAAAAAUCAUGGCGGAAGGAG